GCUUGUUGAGUAUGUCAUAUGCUUAUUCUUGCAAUAAUCAAUCAACCUCAGUUGAAGAAAAAGGAUCCAGAAGGAGAAGACGUUUGGCUUAUACCCCAGUUGAGCUGCCUGUGGGAGUGGAGCUGAAGCCAUCGCUAGACCGUUAAUUCCGCUGCUGUUUUCUUUUCUUUUGUAAGUAUGUAACGUUAUUAUUAUGAUGGAUUUGUAUAUUAAAUUGUCAGUUUGUGUACCUCGGCUGAUUCCUGGACGAGGAUUUUAUGCACAAAUAAGUUCGGAAAUUACUAGUGAAUUUCCGGGCGUGACACGCCGUCACAGAAGAUCCUAGGCGCUAUCCUUCGUCCAUGUUGUGCUGCCCAACCAGGAACAGCCACGCGUCCCGCGCCGUCUCCUAGCCUCAGAACUUAUCUGCAUCCUCCUACUUUGCACCAAUAGCCAAUUGACAUGUUGUUGCCUCGAUCCCUUGCGUCGUAUGGCUCCAGCAUGAGUGCGUCCACAGGCGAGGCGAGACGCCUCUCCCGCACCCCCACUUUGUCGUGCGCCCAUCAAUCUGAGGCACUGCUGACGGUCGUUAUAGACAAAUUUUGACUGUCAAUAUACCCAGAAUAAAGGAGAAUUAGGAAUGCUUGCAUGCAUAUUUGUUUAAGAAUAAUCUAUUUCCGACAAUUUCCGAUCGCCACAACCAUCAUUGGCAGCCUAUUUAAGGACCUCACUCUCUCCAUUCCAAAGUGCACCAAGAAGGAUCAAAUCCAAGAAGCUCUCUAGUUUAUUUACAUUGUUCUAGUGCUAGUGGAGUAGGAUAGAAUAGUUUCUUUAGUUCUUCAAGUCUUCAGGAGAUUUUGGGUAUGUCUCUAGUAGCUUUUCCUUCUAUUUUAAGACACUCAUUAAUGAAAUAUUCUUCUUUAUAUAGUUUUGGUCUUAUACUUCACUCAUAUUAUUAUUCAGCUGCCGACUUUAAUUAGUUCAUAUUUAUCUUGUAAUAAUUAUGUAGCUAGCUUACUGGAAAUAUGCAAUGGUGUUGGUUUAAUGUUCAUUUAUAUGAUUGCUCUGUGUCAUUUGCAAAGAUGUAGAGUAGUAUUUAGUAAUGUAAGUGCUGUGCUUUUAUUAUUAGAUACCAUUAAAUGGUGUUAUAUGCCACGGGUCUAUAGAGGUAGGCCACUGAUGGGAGACUAGGACUUUCCCAAAAAGAAAAACAAUGCAAUGCCGUUUCAGGAAAAGAACGGAAACGGUCCCGCGAACUGACAUGGAUACGGUUCGUCAUGCAAAACAAAAUCGCGGACUGAGAGGGGAGUGAAUUGGGCACAAUUCAUGACCAAAGCAAAGGAAGAAAACUAUUAGCUUGACACUUUUACCUUAGCAACAUUGCCUCCGGUGAUCUGAUAUUUAAUCUCCGGUGACCUAAGUCAUGUUAGUGAUUUUCGGAGCAAAGAGAACUCGAAAAAAAAAUUAUCCCUGACAAUUCCAAUUAUUAAAUGUAUUAUUAGCUGGGGUUUUCUCCUGGUUAACCAAAGCAAAUUCUCGAGGCCAUUUAUUUGUGAUUUGGAACCUAAGGAAAGGGAAAACUCCGGGCGUGACAAUAGUUUAGCAAUAUGUCCUCUUUAGAUUAAUAUUGUGGCCAAGGAAAAUAUAGAGGUGUUUUAACAAAUGUUAGUGUUUCUUGAAUAUCUACGCUUGCUAUCUACAUUUUACUUCCACUAAGGCAACUAUGGAUGAUUUUUGUUUUGGAAUUAUAUGUGAUGACCAUUUCGUGCAAGUGAAAUAGAUUUAAACUUCGUGUUUUGCAGAGCACAUGAACUUCUACUGCACACAUGGAAGGAGCUAGUUGUAUACACCUCAUUGGUGAUGAUGUAAAUGCUAUUUUCAAUUGAUGGCCAUGACGGGUAUAUUUGAAGUAUUGUUGGUGAAGACAUCGAGUCCUUUUUAUACGAUUACUGUAGCUAACGUGGGAAACGUGUAUUGCACGUACACAAAUUACUAGUAUUUGUUAAGCUGGCAAUAUGUAUGUAUAUGAUAAGGCAAACUAAUACUGGUUGGUAGGUUUCAUCGCAUGCUCACUUUGCAAAAGUCCGUAACUUUACGGGCCCCUUUGAUUCAAAGGAUUGGCAAAAGGUUUCAUAGGAUUCAAAUUCCUAUGAAAUGUUUCUUACAAGACCCUUUAAUUCAUAGGAAAAAAAGAAGGAAACUAUAAAUGUAUUCAUAUGCUUCACUUUCAUAGAAAAAUAGCAAGAAGUAUGACCUAUUUGUAAAUUUCUUUUCUUUUUGUAUGGAACUAUCAAAGAGGCCAUGUCCUAUUUUUUGGUUAUUUAUAGUCCCAUAGGAUUAACGG
rnacentral:lncRNA from 1 species